rnacentral:rRNA from 1 species
AUUGAACGCUGGCGGCAGGCCUAACACAUGCAAGUCGAACGAGUGGCGGACGGGUGAGUAAUGUCUGGGAAACUGCCCGAUGGAGGGGGAAAACUACUGGAAACGGUAGCUAAUACCGCAUACCAUCGGAUGUGCCCAGAGGGGAUUAGCUAGUAGGUGGGGUAACGGCUAACCUAGGCGACGAUGCCUAGCUGGUAUGAGAGGAUGACCAGCCACACUGGAACGUAGACACGUUCCCGACUCCUACGUGAGGCAGCAGGGGGGAAUAUUGCGCAAUGGGCGCAAGCCUGAUGGAGCCAUGCCGCGUGUAUGAAGAAGGCCUUCGGGUUGUAAAGUACUUUCAGCGGGGAGGCGUGACUCGAAGAAGAAGCACCGGCUAACUCCGUGCCAGCAGCCGCGGUAAUUG